UUACAGUAUCUGCAUCGAACGAUAUUCAGCCUCUACAUGGGAGCGUGACAGAACACAUGUUUUUGUGUUUUUCAUGACACCGGAGAACCACCAAACUGAAUAAACCAUGUUGUCAUAAAGUGAAUAGUUAAAGGGCAUGCGGUACAAUCAUAGUCGUACGAAAUGAGACAGAAUAUUAAAAGCAAAAUGAAAGGUUUCAACUUAUCCAAGGAAUCUCUUUCUUGGCCUUUGUAUUUGAGAGAGAGCUAUGCUUAGGGUCAGUUUCUUCAGUAAACUGAUUUGGAAAGUGGGAAGUUGACUUUAGGUGAGUAAGUACCGUAUGAAAUUUAGAAAACUUUCAUAUCUGUCCGGAGGUCAAUCUUAAGUGUAAGAAGCUACUGCUAAGGU
rnacentral:lncRNA from 1 species